rnacentral:rRNA from 1 species
AAUCAACGCUGGCGGCGUGCCUAACACAUGCAAGUCGAACGCGAAAGUCCCGCAAGGGAUGAGUAGAGUGGCAAACGGGUGAGUAACACGUGGGUGACCUGCCUUCGAGCGGGGGAUAACGUCCCGAAAGGGACGCUAAUACCGCAUGACAUCCUGCCUUUGAAGAGGUGGCGAUCAAAGCCGGGGAUUCGCAAGAACCUGGCACUCGAUGAGGGGCCCGCGUCGAUUAGCUAGUUGGUGGGGUAAUGGCUCACCAAGGCAACGAUCAGUAUCCGGCCUGAGAGGGCGGACGGACACACUGGGACUGAGACACGGCCCAGACUCCUACGGGAGGCAGCAGUGGGGAAUUGUUCGCAAUGGGCGCAAGCCUGACGACGCAACGCCGCGUGGAGGACGAAGACC